CAUAAGUUAAUUAAUUCGGGUGCCCCAUUUGUGAUGGGGAUAAUAGGGAACCAGGUGAAAUUCCUGGACGGUCCGGCCACUGUAAAUGGCAGCCGGCUCCCAAUUGCCACUGGUUAAUAGCCGGGAAGGCGGGAGACGCACAAGCCAUGAGUCAGGAGACCUGCCUGGAUGAAGAAGCACGG
rnacentral:ncRNA from 2 species